GAUAUAUUGCAAAAUGCGCGGAAUUAGGGUCUAAAUUACGGCACUUUGCGGAAGAUUCACAAAUAAGGAUUUAAUUCUUUCAAUGUUUUCUGGGAAUCGUGUGAAAAUUAUUUACGUUCACUUGAAAAAGUAAUCGAGAAUUGUUCCAGACUGUGUUGCCGAUUGUCCCUUUGUUUACCAGUAGUCCAUUUUACGAAACGACAACAAUUAUUGUUGUUGCAACCGCCUCCUGUCAAAAUUUUAUUUUUCAAAUAGACAAUAGGCAAUUCCAAAACAUCUAGUAGAAUGGACUUUGACAAAUUGAUUGCAUUGUAAGGAAGUAUUAUUAUUUUGGAAGUAUUAGCGUUAUAAAAGCCUUAAGUCGGUAUCUAAGAUGAGUGAAAAGCGAAGACCCAAUCAUUAUUGGUUAAUGGAUCCAUGGUACAAUCAACAAUACGUUAAAAAGCGCAAGAAAGCAGAACAGCCCCAGAGAACUACUACCGAUAAUCUUAUCAACGAUGGCGUCAAUGAGGUUUUCAUAGAAUCAGGAGAAAGUUUGCAAACAGAUACUUCUUCGGAUAUCUCCGAUGACAACAACACAAUCAAUCCAACAGAAGUAAACAGUUCAUUUUCAGUAGCAUCAGAAAGUGAAUUACCGGACCUUCACUAUAAUGAAUUACACGUUUCCAAUGAAGCCACAGAUCAGGAAGAUUCUCAAUCCGAUUUUAGCAGGCAAACGAGUUCGUGUAAUGCAUCGGAAGUGCCAAGUGAUUUCGAUAAUCAGAACAGGGAAGGAAUAGAGGAAUCGGUGAGAUGUUUUCUUAUGGGAUCCAACCACAAUGUUGCAUUAGAACUUUCACAAAAAUCUAUGAAGAUCUGACGAAAGAAACAUCAAACAUUGUCACUGUUCUAAUUAGCUGUUUGCAGUGGUGCAAAAUAUAAAAUUAGAAGAUCAGGAUCGAUGGAUUGCUAUUUCAGCGUUUGUGAAAUGUGAAUAAAGGCAGAAAUCGGAA